rnacentral:rRNA from 1 species
UACAGAGGGUGCGAGCGUUAAUCGGAAUUACUGGGCGUAAAGCGUGCGUAGACGGUUAUUUAAGUCGGAUGUGAAAGCCCCGGGCUCAACCUGGGAAUUGCAUUCGAGACUGAAUAGCUAGGGUGCGGUAGAGGGAAGCGGAAUUUCCGGUGUAGCGGUGAAAUGCGUAGAUAUCGGAAGGAACAUCAGUGGCGAAAGCGGCUUCCUGGACCAGCACCGACGUCAGGCACGAAAGCGUGGGGAGCAAACAGG